rnacentral:tRNA from 1 species
AGGGGCAUAGUUCAGUUGGCAGAACAUUGGUCUUCAACACCAAGUGUCGCGAGUUCGAGUCUUGCUGCCCCUGCCA